AUUCUCCGGUUUCUCUUCUGAUCGCAUUAAUCUUUCGCCCUUUACUGAACAUUUCCGUGGAGGGAAAACAAGUACGAGUCUUACGAAAAUUUUAGUGGCUCCAUUGCGGUGGAGCU